rnacentral:rRNA from 2 species
GGGUUGUGAGGUUAAGCGACUAAGCGUACACGGUGGAUGCCCUGGCAGUCAGAGGCGAUGAAGGGCGUGCUAAUCUGCGAUAAGCGCCGGUAAGGUGAUAUGAACCGUUAUAACCGGCGAUACCCGAAUGGGGAAACCCAGUGUGACUCGUCACACUAUCAUUAACUGAAUCCAUAGGUUAAUGAGGCGAACCGGGGGAACUGAAACAUCUAAGUACCCCGAGGAAAAGAAAUCAACCGAGAUUCCCCCAGUAGCGGCGAGCGAACGGGGAGGAGCCCAGAGCCUGAAUCAGCAUGUGUGUUAGUGGAAGCGUCUGGAAAGGCGCGCGAUACAGGGUGACAGCCCCGUACACAAAAGCGCAUGUGCUGUGAGCUCGAUGAGUAGGGCGGGACACGUGGUAUCCUGUCUGAAUAUGGGGGGACCAUCCUCCAAGGCUAAAUACUCCUGACUGACCGAUAGUGAACCAGUACCGUGAGGGAAAGGCGAAAAGAACCCCGGCGAGGGGAGUGAAAAAGAACCUGAAACCGUGUACGUACAAGCAGUGGGAGCACCCUUUGGGUGUGACUGCGUACCUUUUGUAUAAUGGGUCAGCGACUUAUAUUCUGUAGCAAGGUUAACCGAAUAGGGGAGCCGGAGGGAAACCGAGUCUUAACCGGGCGUUAAGUUGCAGGGUAUAGACCCGAAACCCGGUGAUCUAGCCAUGGGCAGGUUGAAGGUUGGGUAACACUAACUGGAGGACCGAACCGACUAAUGUUGAAAAAUUAGCGGAUGACCUGUGGCUGGGGGUGAAAGGCCAAUCAAACCGGGAGAUAGCUGGUUCUCCCCGAAAGCUAUUUAGGUAGCGCCUCGUGAAUUCAUCUCCGGGGGUAGAGCACUGUUUCGGCUAGGGGGCCAUCCCGGCUUACCAACCCGAUGCAAACUGCGAAUACCGGAGAAUGUUAUCACGGGAGACACACGGCGGGUGCUAACGUCCGUCGUGAAGAGGGAAACAACCCAGACCGCCAGCUAAGGUCCCAAAGUCAUGGUUAAGUGGGAAACGAUGUGGGAAGGCCCAGACAGCCAGGAUGUUGGCUUAGAAGCAGCCAUCAUUUAAAGAAAGCGUAAUAGCUCACUGGUCGAGUCGGCCUGCGCGGAAGAUGUAACGGGGCUAAACCAUGCACCGAAGCUGCGGCAGCGACACUGUGUGUUGUUGGGUAGGGGAGCGUUCUGUAAGCCUG